AAUCAACGCUGGCGGCGUGCCUCAGACAUGCAAGUCGAACGAUUAAAGCUCUCUUCGGAGAGUGUAUAGAGUGGCGCACGGGUGAGUAACACGUGAGUAAUCUACCCUCGAGUGGGGAAUAACAACCGGAAACGGUUGCUAAUACCGCAUAAUGCAGCGGCACCGCAAGGUGACAGUUGUUAAAGAUUUAUCGCUUGAGGAGGAGCUUGCGGCAGAUUAGCUAGUUGGUAGGGUAACGGCUUACCAAGGCUACGAUCUGUAACCGGUCUAAGAGGACGGUCGGUCACACUGACACUGAAUAACGGGUCAGACUCCUACGGGAGGCAGCAGUCGGGAAUUUUGGGCAAUGGGCGAAAGCCUGACCCAGCAACGCCGCGUGAAGGAUGAAGUAUUUCGGUAUGUAAACUUCGAAAGAAUAGGAAGAAUUAAUGACGGUACUAUUUAUAAGGUCCGGCUAACUACGUG
rnacentral:rRNA from 1 species